UUUGGUGCCUACAGGAGUUAUAAUGAAACCAUUAAUGUAAGGGAAUAGUGCUAUAAUAGUAAACCCUUAUAUAUAUAUGGCUACAGACAUAACAUUAACAAAAACACAAACAUGUAUAUGUUAUUAUAGAUUUUGCUUAGCUAAAAACAUAAUAGUAUGCUUAUAAAUAAAUCAAUCAUAUAUUAAUUAAAAAUAAUUUUAAAAUGUUCCCAACAUAUUAUUUAAUACUUUUAGGGAUGAAUUAUUUAUCAUGAGGUAAGCCCCUAACUCCAGAUACAGAAAUGGAGUGAAAGCUACAAGUUUGACGCUCUUGAAUGUAGCUGCUUUCAACGCACAAGUGUAAUUUAUUUUCAGAAAAGAUACUGAAGUGUAUAGCUAUCUAUCUAUCUAUCUAUCUAUCUAUCUAUCUAUCUAUCUAUGUAGCGAGAGAGAGAGAGAGAGCGCUAUUACCACAGCAAGUAAAGCAAGGAAAGUGGAAUGUAACUAUAUAUGUAACUAUAGAAAUGACGGGAAAGGUAAGUAUUUAUCCCCUUUCUCUUGCUACCGAAGGCAAACUGUAGCGCAUGCGCAUUAAUAACAUACAGCGCCACCUAUAGUUCCUGUUACGUGUUGAAGGGAGGCAAUAGAGACGGAAGCCACUACUGGGGCCAUAGCACGUGCGGAGGAAACUUUUUUGUUUUUGCAAAGGAAACAUUGUCCCCAGUACAGUACUUUUAUAUUUCAUGUUACAUGUUACUACAUCAUUUGUAUUAGUACUUUUCUGGAUUACCUGCUGUUUUGAUAUUAAUAUUAGAGAAAGGAAAUUUAAUAUCCUUGUGAGGAUCAUUUUAAGUAUUUAUUUUUGCUGCAUCACUGUUAAAGUUUUUUUGGGGGGAAGGAGUAGCUUCCCAUUUAGUAAAGCAGCAAUAUUUUCAUAAUUACUGCUGCAAAAAUGCCAAGACAAUGGUGUCUGUGGACUGAUGAAGAGGUGAACCUUCUUUUCCAAUUAAUGGAACAAACUGAUGGCCUGGAAGUUAUAAUGGGGUCAUCUUCUUUGCCCAAUAGGGCUAUUUAUAGAAGAAUUUCCAAGAAGAUGUGCAGUAGGGGAUAUAAUAAAACUACUACUCAGGUAUCUUCAAAAGUAAAGGUAAUGAGAACAAGUUUCUACAGGGCAAUGGCCCUACAUGGAGAAUCUCCUGAAGAACACCAAAAACCUUCUUACUUUGAAGAAAUGUGGCAUCUGUGGAUGAUGGCCGGAGCCCCAUCACAAGACCUUUUUGCAGUAGCAGCUCGCCGUGGGAGACGCGCAAGAAGACCCAUGCAAGGGUUUCCAUGCCAGCAACAUGUCAGUCCUCCUCAUCCGCAGGAAGGUGAGGUUGAAGAAGAUGAACCUGCUGACUGCUCUGUGUCUGCAUCAAGUAAUCCCAGGUUCCCAUUGGCCCUCGUUCCAUAUUCUGGGGAGUCGGAUUCUUCCCUUACUGGCCAAACAGCUUUAUCACCAGAACAUGUACCAGAGCCAUCAUUAUCUUCAUCUGAUGCAGCAGCACCAUCACCAGUAUCACUGGAUAUAUUCCCAGAAGGUCCAGGUACAGCUGGUGCUGCACAUCAUCGUAUUCCCUUGGAUGACCGUGUUGCCCGACUGGAGGAACAUUUACAUUCUUUAGAUGCUCGUGUAUCACAGCUAGAGGUCGAGAAAAGACAGCAGGAGGCCAAGAACAUACAGCUUGAGGCCGAGAAUAGACAGCUGAAGGAAGAUCUGAAGGGAGCAGACAGGCGUUUGGAUGCCAUGGCAGGAACCAUCACGCGGGCCCACUUACGCAUGGACUAUCAAAGCAUGUGGCUUAAUUAUUUUAUAAUGUGGCGUGAUCCUCCGCGUGUUCCACCUCCUCUUGGUUUUCCUCCGGACUCUCCACCACACCACUGUAACGAGGAUGAGAGCGCAACACAACCAGAGUAAUUUCUCCCCAAUUACAGAGCAUAAUAAUUAUGAUAAUGUUUCCUUUCUUUUUAAAGUUAUGCUGUGAAGCAACAGCAAAAUCAUCGUACAUAGCUGUCUAACCUAAGGAAAAGGAGCCGGGUCAAUCUUCCUUCCCUUUGCCUCCAUUAAAAUUAUGAGCCUUUAAGCUGCGAAAUGCGGCCCCCGGAAGUGCCGGUUGCUCCGGAAGUGAAUGGGGGAAUUCUUCAGCGCUGCAUCAUAGGAAAUAGAGACCCGGUAAAUUUGCAGCGUGAAACCUGACCAGUUAGAAUUUUGCAUUCCAUACGAGGACAAAGUGCCAUGGAAUAGAAAUGAACAUCAAUGCGAAUUCUCUGAGUGCACUUUCCAACCGACUUUAAAAUAUUGAGGGGUCACUACGGAAGUGUUUCUCAAGCUUUCCUGAAGCAGGUCUGUACAA